rnacentral:rRNA from 1 species
GACAGAGGCCUCAAGCGUUAGGCGGAAUCACUGGGCUUAAAGCGUGUGUAGGCGGAUCGUUAAGUACCUUGUGAAAUCCCACGGCUCACCCGUGGAACUGCUGGGUAUACUGGCGGUCUUGGGCCAACUAGGGGCAGCUGGAACAAGCGGUGGAGCGGUGAAAUGCGUAGAUAUCGCUUGGAACGCCGAAGGUGAAAACAGGCUGCUGGGGUUGUGCCGACGCUGAGACACGAAAGCCAGGGGAGCGAACGGG